rnacentral:rRNA from 1 species
UAAGGAAUAUUGGACAAUGGUCGCAAGACUGAUCCAGCCAUGCCGCGUGAAGGAUGAAUGCCCUAUGGGUUGUAAACUUCUUUUAAACGGGAAAAAACCCCUCUACGUGUAGAGGGCUGAUGGUACCGUAAGAAUAAGGAUCGGCUAACUUCGUGCCAGCAGCCGCGGUAAUACGAAGGAUUCGAGCGUUAUCCGGAUUUAUUGGGUUUAAAGGGUGCGUAGGUGGAUUAGUAAGUCAGUGGUGAAAGCCCGCAGCUUAACUGCGGAACUGCCAUUGAUACUGCUAAUCUUGAGUACAGUUGAGGUGGGCGGAAUGUGUCAUGUAGCGGUGAAAUGCUUAGAUAUGACACAGAACACCGAUUGCGAAGGCAGCUCACUAAGCUGUAACUGACACUGAGGC